rnacentral:rRNA from 1 species
AACGAACGCUGGCGGCAGGCCUAACACAUGCAAGUCGAACGCAUCGCAAGAUGAGUGGCGGACGGGUGAGUAACGCGUGGGAACCUUCCCAGUGGUGCGGAAUAGCUCAGGGAAACUUGAGGUAAUACCGCAUGAGCCCGCAAGGGGAAAGAUUUAUCGCCAUUGGAUGGGCCCGCGUCGGAUUAGCUAGUUGGUGAGGUAACGGCUCACCAAGGCGACGAUCCGUAGCUGGUUUGAGAGAAUGACCAGCCACACUGGGACUGAGACACGGCCCAGACUCCUACGGGAGGCAGCAGUGGGGAAUAUUGGACAAUGGGCGCAAGCCUGAUCCAGCCAUGCCGCGUGAGUGACGAAGGCCUUAGGGUUGUAAAGCUCUUUUGGUCGGGGACGAUAAUGACGGUACCCGCAGAAUAAGCCCCGG